UUCAUUCAUGAAAGCAUUUGCACACACCUGUUAGUCUGAAUUCCUAACUUUCCUGAAUGGCUGAUAAUCACCUCUACACAGAAUUCAGAUUAACAGUCUACAUCACUCUUAAUAGAAUAAGGUGGGAAAGGGAUGGCAAAAGACAUGGCAUGUCACUGCCAAUGAAACACACAAAAGCAUCCUAAUAGUUAAUGAGCCAUUAGUCCCCUAUGAACAGCAUCCAGGUCACUUACUCUUUCCCCUGAGAAGAGAGAUCAGUAGUAAAAUCCCUGAGGGCAACCCAGAAACUUAAAAACAGGGACCCAGGACAUGUUUUUAGAAUGGCCCAGAAGACUCCAGAAGCCCAAGAAAGGUGUCACCUAGCACAGAAGCUGAAGGCUAAGUUAAAAUCUCAGACCAUCUGUUUACUGAAAUUCCUGGCUUAGAUGGAGGGGAAACGGCAAGAAAGCUCUGUUACCCCAGGAACGUUGACUCUGCCAGGAUAAGCAGGCAGAGUAGUCCAUUGGCUGCAAAAAGGUAAUAGUUGGAUCUUUUUGGAAUCAGUAACUGGGGGAAAAGCUAGCACCAGUGAGUUUUAUCACAGCUAAGUAAUUAUUUGAGUUUACUUUUUCUUUCAUUAAAAUGUGUUUUAGGAAUAUGUUUUAAUUGGGUGUGUUGCUUUCCAGAACUCUGAAGAUUUAUCUCCUUCCCUGGGGAGAUGGAAUCUGUUUGCAGGAAGAGAAACCUACAUGGUUGGUUAGAUGGUUACUAAGCAUUCUAGGCGAAGUAGUUUGCUGAGUGCUGUGAAUGCUCGCAUCUUGUUGAAUUCUCCCCCGAAACACCUUGAGGUAGGUACUGAUGCUGUCUGUAUUUUACAGAGAAGGAGCCUGAAGCUGACAGGCACUAAAGGACUCACCUAAGAGCUCAUGUCCCUCAAAGUGGAAGUUGUCUGUCCCCAGCUCGCUGAGGGUCCCCUACUAUCUGUCAACCCAAGGCCUGGCUGGAUAUAGACAAAGAAGAAAGCAGAGAAUGCAUGGAACUCACAAAUGAGGAAGUGGGAAGGAAAGGGGGGACAAUGUAGAGCCUCAGGAUAUGGCAGAGGACCAGAAACGCCUUCCCUCUUGCAAGCUGCUGAGCAGAAAAUGUGAAAUCUUAACUAUUCGGCAUCCUCCAUCACUGAGCCCUCUUACUGGUUGGGUCCACAUUGCCUCAGCUUUAUAGCCGCAGAUACUACAGGCAGCUUCUAAGUCCUGAAGACACAGUGAGAGGACAGGACAUCCAGAUUUGGCAAUGUACAGCCCCAGAUUUCUACAGAGCCAACCAGAGACCCUAACCUCUCCCAGGCCCAGUUCAUGAUGCUCGCUUCAGAAGGGCUGCCUUUGUGUGGCAGCUUAACAACUAAAGGUGUAAUGUUAGGAAGGUGAGAAGGAAUACUCCCAGGUGUCCUGUUUGUCAUUUUCCUGCCUUUAAUCAGAUUUAGUAUAUCUGUUAACUUAACUAUCCCCUUGAAUUCUCGGGCAGACUCUUUAACCUGCCCAGGCACUGUAUGUUCGAGUUCGGAUGAGAAUAGCGUUCUUGCUCGCUUGCUUUUUCUGCCCUGAGCUCUUCCUUAUCAACCAGAGAGCCCACAGAGUCCGCACUUCCUUGCCUGUGACAAUUUACAUGUGUUCCCCUUUCUGAAAGGAUCAAAGCUAACCAUCAAUAAAAGGUAGCUGAGGACACAGACUAUUUCUGUUUAAGGUAAUAUCAGGACACCCAGGAGCCUCUCAGUUGCUGUGGGCACAACUUCUGCAGAAUCGGUUGGAAACAUUUUGCCUACUUUUUCUAGUUUCAAACUCAUACCUUGCUUGGAAUACAGAUGAUUCCUAACAUGGAUAAUGCAUGUCUGAAGUCGGGGGUGGGGUUGAGUCCACAGAGAACUGGGGUUCCAAGACCUGUGAGCAAGAUUUGAUAAUUUUGUAACCAUUUUAAAGGGGAUUUGAUACAUUCUUGGCUACACUAACGUUUGUAUUUGUGAACUACAAUUGAUGACACGACCUCUCCUGCCAGCUGCUGGGUUCUGCCUAAGGACUGCAGAGAAGUAGACGGCUACGGUGGGCAGGUUUCCCACUGCCAUUGGCAGGAAGCCCUGGUGGAGGUCGGGAAUGCAGAGGAAAGGAUGCCCAGUAGAGCCAUGGAAGAGAGGGUGGAGCCCUGGUCCUGGCCAUCGGGUCUGGCCAAGUUUCCUGCUGCGGUAUUAUUUAUGUGGGCCUUCCUUUGUGUUGACUAGUUUUCUUUUUUCACUUUGGCCUCCUCCUAAGCUUUGUGUGAUGGGUUUCUUAAAUAAUAUUACUUCAAAAAUUAAAAUGCUCCAUGUAACAGCCAUGAUUAUCAACUAUCUCAAAUAAUAGAGGCAAUCACUAAUCCAAGUCCUCACUUUACCACUUAGAAAAAUGAGGGAAGAUAAGAGCCUCAGCUGAGAAAAUCUCUCCAUCAGAUUGGCAUAUAGGCAAAUCUGGUGGGGCAUUUUCCUGAUUAAUGAUUGAUUUUGGGAGGCUCAGCCCACUGUGGUUGGUGAUACUCCUGGAGAGGUGGUCCUGAGUUGUACCAGAAAGUAGAAUGAACAAGCCAUGAGGAGCAAGGCAGUAAGCAACACUCCUCCAUGGCCUCUACGUCAGCUUCUGCCUCCACGUUCCUACACUGACUUCCCUUCAUGAUGGGCUGUAACCCGUCCUCCCUGGGUUACUUUGGCCAUGGUGUUUAUCAUAGCCAUAGAAAGCAAAUGAAGACAGCAGACGUUUGUUUUUCAGGAGACCCUGAACUCUGAGAUGUUGAAUGGCUUGCUUACAGCCACAAAGCCAAUUCAAAGAGAGUAGAAACCCAGGUCUUUUCCAUUUUAGGUUGGGAUUUUGCUACCACAUGUCACCCCUAUAAAUCUGAACCUGUUGCCUUUCAUUCUUUAUGUCACACAUAAUUUCUCCAGACGCCGGAGUCCUUUCUUCAGCCUUACCUUUACAGCAGUAAGUAACUCCCUGGGAUCCUACCACUUUGCAUUGCUUUCAGAUUUCUAAGUCUUUUGAAAAAGCAGACCGCAUUUUGACUAGUUUUGGAUGUUUACAGUCAGACCCUCUACAACCGAGUCCUAGAGCUAUGCAAGCUCCAACUCAUUGUUUAACUUCUCUGUGCAUUACUUUUCUCAUCUGCAUGGUGGAAAUAGAAGAGCCCACCUUGAUUCAGUGCAGCCCUGGGGACCUCACAGGGUUGUUUUGAGGCUUAAAAGAUGUGAUGACUAGAAAAUGCCAUACCACACAAUUAGUGUUAGCUAUAGAAUUGAGUAUAUUACCUAUUUUUCUGUCACCCUUUGUUUUUGGUUGUUGUUGUUUUGUAACAGCCCUGGCUGUCCUGGAACUCACUAUGUAGACUAGGUUGGUCUCAAACUCACAGAUGUCUACCUGCCUCUGCCUCCAGGGCUAGGGCCAUUGAAAAAUCCCAGCCUCUGUUGUUUGCUCCUCUAUAAUUCACCCAUUCCUUUUCAGGGGUAUUCCCCCUACAUUUCCCUAAUUCUGAGAUUCCUAACCCAGAUUCCUCAUUUCUUUUCAUCCAUCUUUUUAUUCAUGCAACUCACAGGGAGUGAGGAUCACACUUGGGUACUUAGAGGCAUCAAUGUUCAGGAAGGAUGAGGUCAGCUCUUCAAAACAAUGACCUUCCCUUUAGUAGUGGGAAUCUCUGUCAUUCCUGCUCAGAAAUUAUUUGUGCUUAACUUAGCUAUAUCCAGAUUUCUGCCACUUACUGCUGGUGUGACUAUGGGCUACUGACUACACUUUUCUCAGGGUCAGUUUACCAGUCAGUUAAAAGGGGGAUUAAAAUGACAAUCCCAACACUUGGCCACAGAUGUACUAUAAGGAUUAAGUGUGAUAACAUGAAAGUAUUCAUGCUGGUGCCUGGCACACAUAAGAAGCCUGUGAUGUAACUAUCACCACAUAUUCUUGCAAAAGUGCACUAGAGUGGACCACUCGACACAUGCAGAUCCCCCCAUUCCCUUUCUUAUGAUAUUUAAUCAGGAAGAGUUAGUGUGUUUUAAAAUCCAGUUGCCUGUGCAUUGUUUAUACUAUUUUGAUUAAUUUUAUGAGCCCUCCUCAUUUCUGUCUAGCUCCAUCUACAAGUCAGAACAAUGAACCAAAGUGAGGGGUUGGUCUCCACCAUCAGGGUUGGCAAGUCAAGUUUUGAUCUAAUAGGCUAAGGAAAGAGCUUGUAAGAACUUACUGUAUUUUAAAAUUGUGGACUGGAUUUCAGUCAUUGAGAGCUAAAAGAAACCACUGAGAGCUUUGAGGUCAGCCUCACAUUUUCAGAUUAAAAGAAAAUGAAGGACUAGGGAAGCAUAAGGCCACAGCCACGGUCACACAGGUGACUGUGGUGGAGCAUGGUCUUGAUACUUGUUCCCAUGGGAGCUGCCUUCACCUGGCUGCCAGAACACUGGGUAAAAACAUGGAGUUUUUAGCUUAUUACUUUGGAUCUUUUUCUGAUAGUGAGUGGUUUUGGUUUUUUACCUGAAUACAUUGGAGGUCCAUUAGUACACAGAAUAACGAGUGCCUAUCUACUGAUUUCCUGUUCUGUUCCAGGGACUUCACAGUCAUUCUUUUUCUAUACUCGCUCCAGUUCCUUGGGGGUAGAGGCUAGUCUACCCUGAGAAAGUUAAGAACCCAGGAAGCUAACAAAAGACCCUGCCACCAUUCCAACAGGCCCUGGUUGAUACUGAGAUCUUUUUAUCUUCAGGCAGCUUUGCUUUGCCCUGGGUCAGGAUGCUUAGUUCAUGCAAAGAACUGGCUUCCUGAAGAAGUUCUGAGUGUGGGAAUAGAAGGACCAGAGUGAGAUGAUGGUGGAUUUUAGAAGCAACACACAAAGUCUUCCAGAGUGGAACAGCCGCUUCAAUUCAAGUUUCUACCUGGACAUGAUGAAAUUCCAAGCAUGUUCUCACCUCAGUCCCUGGUUUCAAGGUGUAUUAGUCUGAAGAAUUCUCACUGUCUGAGGAAAUGAUAUUGCCAGAGAGGUAGAGGUCCCCAACUCACUGUAGAACAGAAACCUAAACUUUCCAAGUUAAAGGCCAACCAAUCGCUCCAGACAAGACACUGGAGAGAUACACAGCACGUGUGAUCGGGAUCGGAAAACGUCUUGAAGAAACAAGUCAGCAAGGCUUCCACAAAUCAAUGCCCAGAGACAGAAAGCCCGCUAGACAAAUGCAUAAAGGCAGGACUGUAGAGCGCAUUUGAGAGGUCCACCACAGAUUGCUGUCCUGGAUGCAUUCAGCACUCAGAACACUCCAUGAGAAUUCCCAUGGAAAUACAUGAAAAGUUCAAUCUUCCAAUGAGCAGCUGGGGAGUCGGCCCCACUGAGAAGCCAUAAUUUCCAUUCGAAACAGAACGUGAGUCAAGUACAGAUGGGGGGGGGGGAACCCCUGGACAACCCAGAAGCUGUGCUGUGGCCUUUCUGCUUCUGCGGCAUGCCCGCACUCGUCAGCAAGGAAGCUGAAGAGGAUGGCUGAGAAGGUAAAGGACACACUGAAAAGCCUGACUCAUGGCUCUUUCAGUUCUUGCUCUCCUCGGUGAGCAAGGUGGAGACACGCUGGCCAUGAAUCAAGAGGUGAAUAAAAACCCGUUUCCACCGCCCCGCUGCGUGGCGGGCAUUCCCGGAAGCUAUGAGGGGCAGGGCAGUCUCAGGGAUUCUGCGUGGCAGUUAAAUCCGCGUCUGUCUGUAUUUAAAAUAGACACUGCACAGUGUCAAGGCGAAAGUCCCAACGAUUUCAUCUUUAACUUUUCUUAGAGUAGUAUUAGGAAACAUAAAACACUAUGGCCAGUCAAGAGAGGGACACCUUAAAGUCCAGUCCCUUCCAGGGCACCUUUCUUCUGGUGCCAUGGAGGUGAUACUCCCCAAGCUUCAUGUCCUACCGGGCCUGCAAAGCCCACCGUCAGCCCUGUGUGGCCCAUGGAAACAUGGACAAGAAUGCUUGUGUGAGCACAACUAUAAAAAGUGAAAUAAUCCGAUAUCCAGGGAUGGGGGAACAGAUGGACUGUGACGCAGCUCAUGAACGCUGCAGUUGCACAGCGGUGUCAAACGGGAGAAAAAGAUUAAUAACAAAAAGGACAUUGAGAAGUAAUUCAAGCAAGAGAACUUCCUAUGAGGUAUCAGGGCACCUACCUAAUUCCAUAAAACUCCCGCGUAUUAUAUAAUACAGAGAGAGAGAGAGAGAGAGAGAGAGAGAGAGAGAGAGAGAGAGAGAGAGAGAGAGAGAGAGAGAGAGAGAGAGAGAGGUAUAUCCGGAUAUAUAGCUGCAUUGACCAGCACACAUCAAACUCAUGCCUUGAUUUUACUCAAGAGGGAGAAAGACAAUGACACUAGAAAGAGGGAAGUUGUGGACUUUAAAUUAAUUUAAAUUUUUAUGCCUUAAAAAUUUGACAACCUGGGCCAGCAGAACGGCCCAGCAGGUGAAGGCACUGUCCACCGAGCUGACAACCUGAGUUCGGUCCCUGGAACCCACACGGUAGAAGGGAACAACUAACUCCUCCAAGUUGUUUUCUGAUUUCCGUAUGUGCACUGGGGCACCUGAGCCCCCCUACAAUGAAUGAAUGAAUGAAUGAAUGUAAAUUUUAAUUGACAAAAAUGUGAACCUACGUAAAAUCUUCAGUGAUGAAUAUUUGUGUUUAUCUGUUGUUUUUAGUGUCCUCCAUAAUUUGUAAUAUAAAAAUUCUCCUAAUUUAGGUCAUGUGGGCCAUCCGUCCACCUAUUCUAGAUGUAAUUUCUAAAACACAAAGAAUUAAUUGAUGGGAAUGCAGCAUGGAGCCCUUUCUCUCAUGUGUUUCUCUGAGCUAGGUACUGAAACAUGGCUCUGUCUAUUUAUCAAUGGGAGGAGAUGGCAGAGGGUCCUGGAGUCAGUCUCUGCAGUGCUCAUGAAUGGAGGUCACGCACAAACCAUUCGCUCAUUAUCUGGUUGGCACAGAAAGACACAUUCUGCAUCAAAUUUUCCCGAGUAGUAUUUGUUUUUUUUUUUUUUGGAGGGGGGGGUUACUCCUUUGAGUUAACUUUCCUUUUUCUUCUUUCUAUUUUUUUUUUUAAUGCCCAUGACUUUUAUGUUCUGAGUUCGCUAAUAAGAAAUCAGUCUUUUUGGAAUCUUCCAGGACCUUCUAAAGGAUGAUUACAUUCUUGGCUUUGGAAUGCUCUCAACACAGUGGUGGAUUACUGAUCCACAUAGUCCCUCAGUCCUGGCUCUCCCACAGCUGUCUUAGCUCUUUAAACUCAGAAGGCUUUGGGUUCCAAUUCAUUGACCCUGAGCACAAUAUAAGAUGGAAAUUAUUUUGGCUGCCGAGGCAGGAUGUAGCCCAUUCAUGUAUAAAACCAUUGCGAAAAACGAAAGGAAGUUAAUUUGGAAAGCAAUGCCUGUGUUUGGUUUUGUUUUUAAUUCUCUUCGUUUCUAGAUGCUGGCGCCAACCCUGGGAGUUCAGCUGCUACUUGAGACCUGACUCUCGGGUGUGACCUGUUGAUGGCAAGUAGCCCUGGAAGGUGACCUUCUCACGAUCCACCUAAUACCCACCUGUCUGCUGCCUCCAUUUCUAGCCUCCUUCCUGCCCUCUCCUGUGAGCAAAGCAUGCACAGAUUGCACUCAAGGACAUGGAGACUUGACAGACUAUGUGGUCCACCAUCUGGAAGCCAUACACACAGUUACAGAGAUCCAACAUGGAGAAUCAAUUCUACAGGGAUGCAAAAGCGCACCACGUGGGCAGACAAGAUGCUGGACACCAGACUCUCCUCAAAGACAACUGUACCAAGUCUGCUGCUGCCACUGGUCACACUGGGCACUCACCCCAGCUUGAAAGAAGCCCUGUAGCUAAGACUGGAGUAGCCCUGGCCCAGCAGCACAGGGACUGCCCCCGCCACACACACACACACACACACACACACACACACACACACACACCACUGUUUUCACCAAGCCACAUAGUUUCAUGCUGUUUGAUGUUUCACCCAGCAGCUAGAUAUACUUUUAUUUAAUAAUGACUAAAAUAUUUGGCUUCUUUUCCAUCUCUUCAGAGUUAUAGGUAACACUCAAACACUAUUGCACUCUGCUCUCUUUCACAGAGAGGGGUACCUGAUAAAUUACGUUAUUUGAAGGACUGGUCCAAGUGAGAAGGCUCUGGUGGAUGUUUGUGCAUGGCCCUUCCUUGCUCAGCUGUUCUCCACAUCAGUUCUCAUUAAUAUUCUCAACAACGCAAAGCCUGGGUGUGUUUUAGAGUCCUUCACAUUUUGUUUUCAAGGGUUUUUUAAAGGGGGUAUUCCAACUGAUAUUAUCAACAAUAAAUGCUGUUAUCUUUAAUUUGUUUAGUCUAAUGUUACGUAAUUUUUCAGAAGAACUUUGUUGGUGUUUUCCUUCGACUCUCUGAUCCCAGCCCUGGGCUUAAGGACACACUAUGGCAUCACCUGAGCCAAGCAGCCCUGUCAAAGUGUGAUGUGAUGUUUCUGUUUUUCCCUGGUAAUACAUCUGUCUUAAUCAAGGAGACCAGGACCCUAAGAAAAUCAGGGCUCCUGUUGUGGGAAAUACAACCAAUAUGGUCUGAUUUGGGACUGUUGGAACCUAUCUGAAGGUACCAGGUGUAGGAACACUAGAGGACUAGGAGGAUCCAAAAGAAACAAGAACUAUCUUCAAGUUUG